rnacentral:rRNA from 1 species
GACGAACGCUGGCGGCGUGCUUAACACAUGCAAGUCGAACGGAAAGUCCCUGCUUUUGUGGGCUGCUCUAGUUGCGAACUGGUGAGUAACACUUGAGUUACCUGUCCUUGACUUUGGGAUAACUUCAUGAAACUUGGGCUAAUACCGGAUAGGAGUUCCUGCUUCUUGGUGGGGCUUGGAUAGUUUCGGCGGUUGGGGAUGGACUAGCGGCUUAUCAGCUUGUUGGUGUGGUAGUGUCUUAGCAAGGCUUUGACGGGUAGCAGACCUGAGAGGAUGACAGGCCAAAUUAGAACUGAAAUACGACACAGACUCCUACGGUACGCAACAGUGGAGAAUAUUACACAAUAGACGGAAGCAUAAUGCAACAAAGCCACGUGCGGGAUGACAUCAUUCGGGUUGUAAACCAAUUUCGCCUGUGACGAAACGUUAAUGACAGUAAUGGGUAAAUAAGCACCGGCUAACUACGUG